AGGAUCAUUAUCGGAAAAGCAAUCUGGGGGGAAGGCGAGCGAGGGAAGUUCUGGUAGAUCGNGGGGAUUGUCGCUGGGCUUUGGAAACGAAGGCAUGGGCACGUUCCGAGUUCUCCUUGGACCUCGUCUUUCCUUUCCUUUGGACGACCUUUUUUCACACCUGUGCACCCAUUGUAGGUCCCGCAAGGGAUCUAUGUCUUUAUCUACCCCAAACGUAUGUCCAGAAUGUCAUUAAAUACAUGUCGACCGGGCUGGCUAACGCCUCGUCGGCGACGGUAUAUAAAAAUAAUACAACUUUCAGCAACGGAUCUCUUGGCUCUCGCAUCGAUGAAGAACGCAGCGAAUUGCGAUACGUAAUGUGAAUUGCAGAUUUUCAGUGAAUCAUCGAAUCUUUGAACGCACCUUGCGCUCCUUGGUAUUCCGAGGAGCAUGCCUGUUUGAGUGUCAUUGAAUUCUCAACCAUCUUUCGAUUGAUUUCGAAGGGUGGCUUGGAUUUUGGGAGUUGCCGGCUGACCUUUUGGGACGGGUCGGCUCUCCUUAAAAGCAUUAGCGAAAGGUGGCAAGCCCUGCAUGCAUGGCCUUCGACGUGAUAAUGAUCGUCGUGGCUGGAGUGCGAGGCAUAGACGUCCCUUUGCUUCUAAACAUCGUACUGGGGACUUUGCUUCGGCGGAGGACCCAUUACUUUCUCGACGCUUGACCUCAAAUCAGGUAGGACUACCCGCUGAACUUAAGCAUAUCAUA
rnacentral:rRNA from 1 species